GCCAGACUCCUACGGGAGGCAGCAGUGGGGAAUAUUGCACAAUGGGGGAAACCCUGAUGCAGCGACGCCGCGUGGGUGAAGAAGUAUUUCGGUAUGUAAAGCCCUAUCAGCAGGGAAGAUAAUGACGGUACCUGACUAAGAAGCCCCGGCUAACUACGUGCCAGCAGCCGCGGUAAUACGUAGGGGGCAAGCGUUAUCCGGAUUUACUGGGUGUAAAGGGAGCGUAGGUGGCGUGCCAAGUCAGGAGUGAAAACCCAGGGCCCAACCCUGGGACUGCUCUUGAAACUGUAUUUCUUGAGUGCUGGAGAGGCAAUCGGAAUUCCGUGUGUAGCGGUGAAAUGCGUAGAUAUACGGAGGAACACCAGUGGCGAAGGCGGAUUGCUGGACAGUAACUGACGCUGAGGCGCGAAAGCGUGGGGAGCAAACAGGAUUAGAUACCCCGGUAGAA
rnacentral:rRNA from 1 species